rnacentral:lncRNA from 1 species
AUACACGCACGGUGAAUGCACGGUACACGCACGGUACACGCACGAUACACGAUACACGCACGAUGAGCGAUGAGCGUUACACGGAGGAUUAACGCAAAAUGAAUGAUGAAUGAUGAACGCACGAUACACGCACGAUGCACGAUGAAUGAUAAAUACACGAUACACGCACGAUACACGCACGUUGAAUGAUUCAUUGACGACUGAACAACGAACGCUUUUUACAC